rnacentral:rRNA from 1 species
AUUGAACGCUGGCGGCAGGCUUAACACAUGCAAGUCGAGCGGAGCGGCGGACGGGUGAGUAAUGUCUGGGAAACUGCCUGAUGGAGGGGGAUAACUACUGGAAACGGGCGCUAAUACCGCAUACUAUCAGAUGAGCCUAGGUCGGAUUAGCUAGUUGGUGGGGUAAAGGCCUACCAAGGCGACGAUCCGUAACUGGUCUGAGAGGAUGAUCAGUCACACUGGAACUGGGAAACGGUCCAUACUCCUACGGGAGGCAGCAGUGGGGAAUAUUGGACAAUGGGCGAAAGCCUGAUCCAGCCAUGCCGCGUGUGUGAUGACGGCCUUCGGGUUGUAAAGCUCGUUAAGCGGGAAGACGGUACCGGAAUAGAAAGCCACGGCUAACUACGUGCCAGCAGCCGCGGUAAUAC